AAGGAAGGAAGGAAGGAAGGAAGGAAGGAAGGAAGGAAGGAAGGAAGGAAGGAAGGAAGGAAGGAAGGAAGGAAGGAAGGAAGGAAGGAAGGAAGGAAGGAAGGAAGGAAGGAAGGAAGGAAGGAAGGAAGGAAGAUCGAUCCCUGGCUGUCAGAAGUACACAUAAGUAUUUACAAGGUUUGUGUGAAUCUGCACACAGUUCCCCUCACAGCGAAAGAGUUAAGAACAGAGAUGUCACAAUAUUUAUCAGUGCAGUAAAAAAUAUCAUUUUUGGAAAAAAAUAUACCUUUAGUAUUGCCUUUCUUAGAUUAACUAUGAUAAGCAAAAGAUUAAAAACAAAAACUUUAUCUUCAAACACACAUGAAUAGUCUGUUAUAGCAGCACUGCUAAAACUGGAAGGACAAAGCUAACCCGUAAAUGAGAAACAGGAGUUUCAAACCACAAAUGCUGAAUGCAAAACCUCCUAGUAUGCUUCAUAAGACUUCAGAAGAACCAAGCCAAUCUACCAUUCACAUUUCACUCUCAACACACACAAAUGCUCUAAAACCACGUCUUCCCACUGAAAGCGUUUGACACGCAGAGCCCAGGUCAGUUUACCUCCCAACUGGUUCUCACACCACCACCUGCAUCAGCAACUCCUCACAGGUAACCACUGCCUCUGGGGUCCCUCACAGCAAUCACAUUUGUCACAGGGGACAAGGAGCCCUUGAGCACAGAGCCUUUGUGAGCAGCUCCUCUACACACUGCCAGGCCUUCCUUCCAGGGGCCUCCCUGCUGUGGGUCUCGCUGUGUGCCUGGGGUGCCUGGUGAGCAUGGUGGCAUCACAGCAAUACACACACAGGUAGCGGUGAGGAGGAUGGACCACAGGGAUGGAGACCAGCGUGGAAAGCCCAGCUCCUCUUACCCAGUGCAGUACUUCUGCAAGGAGUCUAUGCACAGCCACCAACAGGACUGGCACCAUUUCUUUGAGCACCUCACUCAGCAUCUACAACCCAGGGUGAAAAUGUCACUGUCAUCAGAGGCAGCUUUGUGGGAGUACAGCAGUGGGGGAACCUCAGCAGCAGAGAACCAUCUCCUCCCUAUGUCUGGAGGGAGAAAAAUGCUUUGUAGGCACAGAAGUGGGCCUUGAGAAAUAAGCUGGGGAUUCCAGGUACUUUGGACACAGGUCCUUCUCACAGGAGCACCAAGAGGGUGACGUAGAUAAGCGCCCAGGACCACAGAUCAAUUGCUUUGAAGCUCACACAGCAAAUGGGAUCAUGGUAGGGACAGCUAUGCCAACAGGAAGAGGGAGAACAUUCCCUUCCCACACCUUUCCCAUCUGUAUUGCCUACCCACGGCAGACCUUGCAUACAGGUAUCCACAAGUAGCACUGCAGAUCUGUAAUGAUUGCAAAGCCAUGAAAGAACACAAGUCUAAGUCCAACACCCAGCUGUGCCUGGCCUGACCACGACAUCACUGUUUGGGAUAUCAGGAAAAAGUCUUUCACCCUGAGGGUGGCUGGGCACUGGAACAGGCUUCCCAGGGAAGUGGUCACAGCACCAAGCCUGACAGUUCAAGAAGCAUUUGGACAAUGCUCUCAGGCACAUGGUGUCAUUCUUGGGGUGUCCUGUGCAGGGCCAUGAGUUGGACUUGAUCUUGAUGGGUCCCUUCCAACUCAGCAUAUUCUAUGAUUUUAUGAACCCACAGAACAAAACAGUGUCCUAAAUCCAGAGGAGACACUACAGAAUCAUGCAGACCAUCCAGAAGCUUAUCCCCACUACACAGCUCACCAUUUGCACACUGCAAUGUCACCACUAAAACACUUAAAUAAAUGUGGACAAUAACAAGAGAAGAAAAAAGUUUUUGACAUCCCCUACAGUUUAGGAUAGCAGCAAUAUUUAGUGUGAAUUUCUCUGCUCAUCAAGCUAGCUACUCAAAAAGAUGUCAGAAACUUGAGAGAGAGAGAGAGAAAGAAAAAAAGAAGUGAAUGGAAAGAUUGAGUUCCACGGUGUAUCCUCAUUGCCUGGUGCUCAUGACUCGUGGCUUAAUUUAACUUCUGGAGUAGAUAGGAGUCUCUUUCUCUCUUUUUAAAAAAAUAAAGUAUCUUUGGUUAAAGAAAAAAACAGGUUUAUUGCCCUUCAGAUUGCUAAUGGAAUUGCCUUCAAACCAAAUUACAAUACACAAUCCCUUGAAUAUAUUAAAAAAAAGGAAAAAUGUCACAGUCAAAAGUGUCCCUUUCUUGGAAUGUUUUGUGUAUUACACCAAAACUACUAGAGAAAGAGAGAGAAUUAGAGACCUGCCAAAGCCCAAUUUGUUGGGUACAAGCAGGUAAAACCUGCCAAAGAAGAUGCAAUUGCAUUUUCUCUCUCAAAUGACUGGAUUUAACCACUCUACAGCGAAAUGUGCUUCCAUUUGGGUUUUCCAGUCUGCUCAUGUUAGUGGUUCUCUACCCUCCCUCCUGCAUUCUGACCUCACAGCAGGUAACAGAACAUCCUCCUGAGGAGAGACAAUGUCUGUGUUCGCUUCUGCUUCCUGCACAGGCAGAAUGCAAGAGGACAUGAUGGGGAAAAGAACCACUUUUUCACUCUGCCAGCCAUAAGCCACCCAUUAAACUUCCAGUAUCUAAACAUUCUCCUACCCCCUCAAGUUUCCAUACCAUGUACCCCAUGCACACAAGGAACACCAACUGAACCAAACCAUGACAAUCCCAUUUCCUCUCCAAAGGACUCUGCAAGCAAAACCAGCUGGCUAUUGUUAUGUGUGUGGUACUGACAGCACGCAAAGCUUUUAUUUCCUCUGCUGAAAUGACUGUGUUUCCCCUAUGACCAGUCACACCUUCAUCCAUACAAUUCCUUUACACAAGAGUGAGGGAGGAGGUGUUUCUCAGCUCCCUUAUAUCCACCAGAAAACACAGCUCUCUCACAGUGUUGUACCAUCAAAGCAAUCUGAUUGCUGUGCUGUGCAUCUCUUGUAAUCAGCAUCCCAUCACCACGACCGCCUGGCAGACCAGCAACUCCAGGAUGGACAAUGUGAAAGACACAUGACCAGGACAACCUGAUGAUGAGGGUGGACGCUGUCCUCCCACUCCAUCGAGAGCAUCAGCAAACAGCAGAAUGAGAAUUCAGUUUCCGGGGAGGAAACCUGCUAUUUCAACAGGACAGAAACAGACCAGUCCACAAAUGAGUCCCCAGAUCCUCUGGGUCCUCGCAACCGACCUGGUUGUUUCUAGCCCAUCCAGUGCUUGACAAAACACUCAGUUAUACGCACUUCUGACCCCCAACGAGCCACUCCAACACCUCGUGAGCUACGAUUGACGACGUGGGAAAAAAACCCAACACCACCAGCAGGAGAAAAUUGGCAGUAACAACCCUCCCCCACCAAAAAAAAUUAAAAAAAGAAAAAAAGAAAAAAGAAGAAAAAAAAGUAAAAGAAAGAAAAAGAGCUGAGAGUAAAUUCCAACUAGCCUCAGUCAGUUUCUAGGAGUACCAGUGGAAGUAAACCCUUAAACCGCGUCUGUAGUUUGGUAAGGCACUACGAGGGAAUGAUGUAAAACUAAGACUGUGACAGUUGUAAUGGCUGUGCCGAGGAACACAUCACAGAGAGAAGGCAGCAUCUGCACUCACACACACACACACACACACACACCUGGACAAUCACAUUGUUACAUGCCUAUGUUAUAUCACUUUUCUUUGUGCAAUCACAUUGAGGAAUAGUCUAUUGGUAUCGUUGAAGUUCAACACAAAAGAGUAAAAAGGGGUAUGACCUGUAUAGUGCUACAUUCUACCGGGGCUGGGGGUGGGGGGUUGGGGGCAGCUAAAAUGUCUCCUCCUAUACUAAAAUGAGUAGGGAUUGAAAAGGAACACUUCCAAAACAAAACAAAAC